rnacentral:rRNA from 1 species
UACGAAGGGUGCAAGCGUUACUCGGAAUUACUGGGCGUAAAGCGUGCGUAGGUGGUCUUUCAAGUCAGUGGUGAAAGCCCGGAGCUCAACUCCGGAAAUGCCAUUGAAACUGUAAGACUUGAGGAUGAGAGAGGUGAGUGGAAUUCCCAGUGUAGAGGUGAAAUUCGUAGAUAUUGGGAAGAACACCGGUGGCGAAGGCGGCUCACUGGCUCAUAUCUGACGCUCAGGCGCGACAGCGUGGGGAUCAAACAGG